GGGACGGUAGGGAAGGGGGAGGGCGGAGAGAGGAGAUUGAAGAAGAGAGAAAGAGAAGAAGGAAGUACCUGCAGGGUGCUGGCGACACGUGCAGUACCUGGGAGUUUUUAAGAAAUGCAAAUUCCAGCGCCUGUCCAUUGCUAUACCAUUCCACACCCGAAGCUCUGGGAUUCUGGGGCCACUUCUGCAUUUGGAAACACUUUUGUGUCUUCCAAGCUGCCGCUGGCCUCCCGCCUGGCUCCCUGCAGCCCCUUCUUCCCACGACCUGACUCAGCGUCUACAGGGGCUUGCUUUGGCAUUCAGAACCCUCAGCCCGCUUUGCCUGGCAGCGGGUGAAAUAGAUGCGGUGGAAGCUGGAGGCUAUUAGGAUUAUUGCUCCUGUUUCACAGAUAAGACUGGCAUUUGGAGAUUUCUCAAGUUUCUCGAGAGUUCCAUAGCCAAGCAACAAGAAGACCAUGCUAUGACCUCCGGUGAUCAGAAUCCAACGUGGCAGGAGCCCCAGUGACUGAGUCUGAUCCCACCUUGUGCACACAGAGGAGUUGACUCUUCCGUGGUGCACAUUUCAUUGGCCUCCCCCUCCUCGUGUGUCUGGAGCACUUCGGGAUGGUGUCCAUGGGAAGUCCCCUGCACCCAUCACUACACUACCUUGCUAUGUUUUGUUGUUCUGUUAUUAUGUUUGCCAAGCUGUCUCUCUUUCCCUAGGUUUGAAAAUGCAAAUAGAUGUUUCUCAUAAGAAUUGUAUCAUUUCUUUUUCUGUUGCAUUUUAGUGGAAAUCUCUGUUAUAUACAAUAAAUGCUGUUCUGGGGAAAUGCCACUUCCUUUAUUAUAAACAUUACAGAAUAAUGAUAAUAUAAUUGAUCACAUUUCCAGAGCACUUUACAGUUUGCACUUUACAGUUGUUCGAUUUGGUCACUUUACAGUUGAUCGAUUUGAUCGCUGGGGGAAAAGCAAGACAAGUAUUCUUAUUCCCAUUUUAUAGAAGAGGAAAUCAAAACAAAGAAUUUACCGACUUAUACAGGGGAGCUGGGAAAUUUUCUAUCUGCUAAGUUUUCUUCCUGUGAGGUCCCAUCACCCACACCACACUCUGUAAACUCAUGCUCCAAUUUCUCCAGGCCACCUACUGACUUAUCUUGUGGCACGUGGACCCCCUUGAGACAAGAAAGCAUUCUUCCCUAGACUUCUGUUCUGGGUUGUGGGAACCUCAGUCAAUUCAAGAGCGAAGUUCACGAAGAUUCAGUGAUGGGUUUGUUCCUGCUGUUCCUCCUUGGAAUGGCUGCCCCCGGGUGUCUUCAGCUUCAGGGUCACCCUGCCGCUGAGACACAGCACUGCAGAGCUCACGGGGCUCACCCCAGGCUUGUUUUGACUGUACAUGGAUGUCAUCUCAGAGCUGUGGCUACUGCGGUUUGGAUGCAAAGCUCUGAAGAUGACUGUAAACACUCCAUCCCCCGUCCCAUCGGAAAAACCCAGUCCAAGGAAAACAGCAAAAGCUCAUUGAAACUAAGACAACAGCACAAAUAUUUAUGGGGGCAGAAAUUGAAACACUAGCAAAAACAAAGAAUGCUUUUCAGAUCGGUAUUAAUUACAUGAAAACAAACAUCAUGGUAUCUAAUGGAAAUUUUUUUUUUUAACCAUUAGAUCAGGUACCUUCCAAUCAUUGUUACAACUAGAAGGAUAAAGUCAUAGAAAUGGCUUACUCAGUAAGGUGACUAGUUUCAGCCAUUUGCCUUUGAGUGUCCGGUGUUGCCCAGUUCAGAGGAAGGGCACAGGAAUGGGGCUCAGGACAAAUGCCAUAAGUAGUUGGGAAACUCUGAGCCUGGCACCUAACCCUGCCCAAAGUGACCUUGAGUUUCUUCAGUUGAGAAGAAGAGAGAAAAGAAGGGACUGCGGAGAGAGCUAUGCGGACAUGGUAUCCUCCAGAUGGACUGAACUCUAGGCCCUUUGGCUCCCACUAGGGGCUGGAACUGGGAUGCUCAGGUUCAAAUCCCAGCUUCAUUAUCUGCUAGCCGCCUGACCUUGACAGAUCCCUCCUCUCUCUGUACCUCCCUUACCUUGCUUGUAAACUCCCAAUCUCUUUGUGUUAGGAGCAUUAAAUUAGUAAAUAUAUGUAAUUCCUUCAGAGAGUGCCUAGCA